GAUGAACGCUGGCGGCGUGCCUAAUACAUGCAAGUCGAACGAAUCUUCUUCGGAAGAUGAGUGGCGAACGGGUGAGUAAUACGUAGGUAACCUGCCCCUGUGCGGGGGAUAACAGGAGGAAACUCCUGCUAAUACCGCAUAGCCACGAGCACCGCAUGGAGCUCAUGCCAAACAUCCUUUCGGGGAUAGCGCAGGGAUGGACCUAUGGCGCAUUAGCUGGUUGGCGGGGCAACGGCCCACCAAGGCAACGAUGCGUAGCCGGCCUGAGAGGGCGGACGGCCACAUUGGGACUGAGAGAAGGCCCAGACUCCCACGGGAGGCAGCAGUAGGGAAUUUUCGGCAAUGGGGGAAACCCUGACCGAGCAACGCCGCGUGAGCGAAGAAGGCCUUCGGGUCGUAAAGCUCUGUUGUAAAGGAAGAACGGCGCAUACAGGAAAUGGUAUGCGAGUGACGGUACUUUACCAGAAAGCCACGGCUAACUACGUGCCAGCCGCCGCAGUAA
rnacentral:rRNA from 1 species